GCGCAUCGGCGCAGAGGUAGAACGAUUAGCAGGGGCGGACUGGCCAUCGGGAAUACCGGGGACAUCCCCGGUGGGCCGAUGGCCGAAAAUAUAAUCCCACCGGCCCAUCAUUAUCAUGUACCAGCCCAUCAUCGCAUCAGCCGAAAUGAUUAACACAGCGGCACAAGCGUAAUUUUCUCCAAGAGCUAUACCUAUCUUAAUCGCACUGACUGACUGACUGACUGAGUUUUAUACUGCUACUCGCAAUCGGUCUUCACACUCAUGGUGACUAUUUUUCGAUUUUUUUUUAAGUGUCUUCUAAUAUGUGUUUUACAGACUUCGGAAGUCCAAAGUAAGAAAAGAUCUCCACCUUAUUAAUAAACACCUCUAAAUUGGUUCUUACACAGCCGAAGUGUUCUCAACUGUGCGGAUUGAGGUAGAGAAUUUGGAUUUGCAUACAUACACGCAACGCGGCACCCAGUUCUACGCAUGCGCUCAUGAGGCCCAGUGAUGCUGGUGGCGAUACGAUACAACGACCUACGGUACACACCCAGUCGGAUGAACUCUACCCAUUACUGUGAUGGACGUGGAGUAUACUUUUUUUGUUAAUAAAUAACACCUUUUGGAAGUGUAUAGUGCAUCCACUCUCACUGAUUGCUAUUAACUCAUUGCAUGUGGAAAAUAGUUGCACAGUUGGAGUCAGGCUUUUAGCUAGGAUUUUUUGUACAGCACUUGAUCGUUUUUAGGUAAUAUUGCAAUUACACUGAUUUAUUUAUAUGUUUAGUAAUUUAAUACAUAAUAACAGUGAGUGUAACUGAAACUAGGUAACAAGGUACAAAAUUCAAGUAACAACUUUAACAAAAAGAAACAACUUUCUACACAACUUUAAAGUGUAUGAUGUAUAUUGUAUUGUAUUGAAUUUAGAUUAAUUAAGACCACCACCUUAACACACAAACUCUUGUUGAACUCAUAAAGUAGUAGGUUCAGUGACGUGCGGUGAGACAGCUGUCUUCUGUAGCUUCUGCGAGCCCGUGAAUCAAUGUUUCGUUGGAAUCAUGAUGUAACGUUGUUGUAGCGGGAAUACAGCAAUGCUAUUUUCUAAUUGGCAGGGCAUAUGUAUGAUUCUAGACUUCGCUAAGCACUGAAGCGACUGAAACGGUGAAUUUUGAUCACAUUCAGCGAAGUUAACAGGUAAAACGGGAGAAAAAUAGGGCGUCUUUAGGCCGUCCUGCCUAAAAGUAGGGCAUCCCAUUUCUUCUUAUUUUUUAGUAGACUAUAGGGCAGACGCCCUGCUAGCUAAAAGCCUGGUUGGUGUAGACAUUCGAGAGACCAAAAAGACUGAAAAGGUGUGUUAUCGAAUUUAGUGGGCCGGUCUGGUUCAAAAUGCCCGGGCCGAUUUUUUGUCCCAGUCCGCCCCUGACGAUUAGCUUGAGUGGCAAAAGCUUCAAGAUUAAAGGAGAAGCAUGCAAUAGAAGAACGUAAACAAAUGUUAAGGAAAAAAAG
rnacentral:lncRNA from 1 species